UACGUAGGGUGCGAGCGUUAAUCGGAAUUACUGGGCGUAAAGCGUGCGCAGGCGGUUUUGUAAGACAGAUGUGAAAUCCCCGGGCUUAACCUGGGAACUGCGUUUGUGACUGCGAGACUGGAGUGCGGCAGAGGGGGGUGGAAUUCCACGUGUAGCAGUGAAAUGCGUAGAGAUGUGGAGGAACACCGAUGGCGAAGGCAGCCCCCUGGGUCGACACUGACGCUCAUGCACGAAAGCGUGGGUAGCAAACAGGAUUAGAUACCCCGGUAGUCCC
rnacentral:rRNA from 1 species